UCUAUUUAUAUCAGAUAAGCUCUAAAAAACCUCCAUUUACACAUGGCAAAACCAUAGGUUUUUUUAAUUUAAAAUUGGGAUGCCAUAGGCUUCUUUUCUUGGAUGCACAUGUGAGAGGUUGUGAAACGAUGUAUGUGUUCCCAAAGAGACUUUAUCAAAAAGUCUCUUGAAUUUUAAUAUGCCAAUUGACAUGGUCAUUGGAACACAUGAAGAGAUGCUUCACACGACCCCUCUUCAAAUAUAAAUAGAGGUCAGC
rnacentral:lncRNA from 1 species